ACAACUUGGUUUUACUUGAAAGUGAAAAUACUUCGAUGAGGAUUGCAGUUUGACUGUCGUGGGAGAAAAAGACAAAACGUUGACAAUAAGGACGGAAUUCGAAGUGAGAUACCAUCAUUCAUGGCCCCAUCAUCAGUGAUGAUGAAGAGGAACUAACAAAGUUUGCUAUUCGGCAUGCAGCAAAUUAUUAGGAAACUUGCAGGAGAAAGCAAAAGAUAUUCCAGAGAGACUGUUUAAUUUCUCAAUCUAAACACAGAGAAAGCAAAUGGGAAGAGAACAAGGGCUCCAACAGACAAAAUAAAAGAAAUUAAGGAACAUGAUGAAGAGUUUAUCCCAAAUAAGAAGAAGAAAAACACUGAGGAUACAAGAGAGAAGAAACAGGAGCUAAGUCCCAAGGAAAAGAAGAUACCAAGUCACAAAACUCCUCCCUUGAGAAAACACUCUACUACCAACAUUCUUUCAUUGGUAGUAGUAGUAGAUAUUAGCAUUUCAUCCCAUGGAGGAUUGUGUUGAGAUAAUCAAGAAGCAAGCUUCCUGUGUCCAAAUCCUCCUUCUUCAGAAAAACCAAGGGAGAAUGAC